rnacentral:rRNA from 1 species
GAGUUUGAUCCUGGCUCAGGACGAACGCUGGCGGCGCGCCUAACACAUGCAAGUCGAACGGAGCUUAGAGAGCUUGCUUUUUAAGCUUAGUGGCGAACGGGUGAGUAACGCGUGAGUAACCUGCCCUAGAGUGGGGGACAACAGUUGGAAACGACUGCUAAUACCGCAUAAGCCCACGGUACCGCAUGGUACUGAGGGAAAAGGAUUUAUUCGCUUUAGGAUGGACUCGCGUCCAAUUAGCUAGUUGGUGAGGUAACGGCCCACCAAGGCGACGAUUGGUAGCCGGACUGAGAGGUUGAACGGCCACAUUGGGACUGAGACACGGCCCAGACUCCUACGGGAGGCAGCAGUGGGGGAUAUUGCACAAUGGGGGAAACCCUGAUGCAGCGACGCCGCGUGAGUGAAGAAGUAUCUCGGUAUGUAAAGCUCUAUCAGCAGGGAAGAAAAUGACGGUACCUGACUAAGAAGCCCCGGCUAACUACGUGCCAGCCGCCGCGGUAAUAC